GGGGAUUUAGCUCAGUGGUAGAGCGUUUACCUAGGACGCACAAGGUCCUGGGUUCGGUCCCCAGCUCCG
rnacentral:tRNA from 1 species